rnacentral:rRNA from 1 species
UGCAGCGAUGCCGCGUGAGUGAAGAAGGCCUUUGGGUUGUAAAGCUCUUUCGUCGGGGAAGAAAAUGACUGUACCCGAAUAAGAAGGUCCGGCUAACUUCGUGCCAGCAGCCGCGGUAAUACGAAGGGACCUAGCGUAGUUCGGAAUUACUGGGCUUAAAGAGUUCGUAGGUGGUUAAAAAAGUUGGUGGUGAAAUCCCAGAGCUUAACUCUGGAACUGCCAUCAAAACUUUUUAGCUAGAGUAUGAUAGAGGAAAGCAGAAUUUCUAGUGUAGAGGUGAAAUUCGUAGAUAUUAGAAAGAAUACCAAUUGCGAAGGCAGCUUUCUGGAUCAUUACUGACACUGAGGAACGAAAGCAUGGGUAGCGAAGAGGAUUAGAUACCCUCGUAGUCCAUGCCGUAAACGAUGUGUGUUAGACGUUGGAAAUUUAUUUUCAGUGUCGCAGCGAAAGCAAUAAACACACCGCCUGGGGAGUACGACCG